GUGGAGGAUGAGAAAACAGACCAAGAUAACCUUGAUAAAUGAGACGCUAUUGGUCACGCGAGAACGGAGUUUUUAGUUCCUCCAAGCCUUUUGGGUGGUUCAAGUACGAUGGUGGCAACUCUCAUAUUUAGUCAGAUGUAUCUGCUGUGGAAGUUACAGAAGGUGGCGUCAAUAGGUGUUUAUCAAAUGUUGUGAAUGCAGGUGUUUCCUGUAGCCAGCAGAGGGGGCAGUUGCACUUUAAGUAAAGACAAGCUUUACAUUCAGAGGGAAGUAAACUUAAUAGAUAGCUUUUGAUUUAGCAUUUAUUAUUAUUUUAAUAAAAUGACUGUGUUCGGAUAUGAUUAUAAAGUCUUUUCUUACCAAUGAUGUUUUAGAGAAAACUGGAGCUCACUGAUCUCUUAAGUCACACCAAGAUUUCAAAGCUAUGUGCAAAAGCAUCACUAGUCCCAGCACAACAUCCCGAAUGACAAAUAAAGAUCUCAGGAUCGCCAUGGAUUUUGGAAGUACUGCUUUAAAAAUGUUAAAUGAAAUGAAAUCAAGUUUCUCACCUUACCAUCUAAUUUCUAACAUAAACAGAAAUACAGAGUAGGGUGGGAUGAGAGAACAUCUAGUUAAAUGUGUAAGGACUCAACUGACCAUGAAACAAAUCAAACAAGUGAACUGAGCUCAGGGAACCUACUGGAGUGUAAGUCAAAAGUUUCUAAAGGAAACUCAGUGUUUUUCUACUGACUACACAGACACUACUGUAAUAUAGCUACUGUACCUGGAAGUUCAUUUACUUGUUUGGUGUAUCAAGCCUGAAAUACACAAAAGAGCAUUAACGUUGAUCGUUUGUGAUUCAGCUAAAUAUUUAUUCUAAAGCAUUAUGAUUUUCAGACUUCAAACAUGACUGUAUACACUUAAAAGUAAAUGUAGUUGUUAUUUUAAGGAAUGAUUUCUGCUUGAUCUGACCUUUGUUGGUGGAAGCUAAUGCAUCCAGGAUGAUUUGGUCAUGUUAAACCAUAUUUUUGACUUCUAAAUUAGAUGAAGCAUGUUCAGGUUACCUGAUUUUACAUUUGUACAGUGUACUUGGUGCCUUUACGCAGGGGCGUAGCAACCGGGGGGGACGGGGGGGACACGUCCCCCGCACUUUUAGAAACUGGUGAUUCUGACCCCUGCUAUUUUUUUGGAUCCAGCGUGAAUAUUUCCGGCACCGGCAGUGUUCUCUGAUUUGUUACUUAGAUUUGAGUGAACUAACAUUCAGCCAAUCACAGAGCGAAUCAUCUCUUGGGCGCGUCUGCUAUGAGCUUCAAAUCUCUUGUUGGUGUUGUGAGUUUUCGUUCGUUCAUUCGCCGUCUGGGAUAAAAUGCACCCCAUAAAAAAAGCAAAGGACGAUUACAUCCUUUUUUCAAACACACACUGAAAGGCAGGCUGUGACGUCACUGACAGAGAGAGGGGACAGUUGCUCAACCUCUCCAGAAUGUGUACAGGUGAGAUUUGUAUAAAAAAAAGCAGAUUGACUAUUUUAAGGCAGUGUUUUCUUAAUUGGAACUGUUUGCCAAUAUUUUAAGGAAUUACACAUCAAUUUAAUUCCUUAAAACAAAAGAUCAACCAUCAAUCACCUUUAUUUAUAUAGUGCUUUUAAUAAUACAGAUUGUGUCAAAGCACUGAACAGUAUCAAAUAGGAGAAUAGAGUAAUUUAUAAUGACAAGAUUAAACACUGAAUUUCCAGUUUAAGGCAUUUUAUUAUUGAAUGCAGAGAAUAUUUUAAAUAUCAUAAAAUAUCUUUAUCUAAAUAAAGUAUAGAUGGUCUCACAUUGGUCUCAAAGUCCUGCAGUAUUUUUAAAUUUUGAGGAUGAUUUCACAAAAAUAGGUUCCUGUAAGCUAUCACGGCAUGUUCCCAAAAUUGCCACUGGGGUGCUGUAAAAUGCCAAUUGGUAUUCUAUUUAGAAUUUAUUAUUAUGAACAUCAGCUUUGGGUCACAUCACCAUACAGCUGUCCCCCCCACUUUUAAAAUGGCUGCUACGCCCCUGCCUUUACGUAAUAACAUUUAAAUACAUUUGAUACAAUUCACUUAUUGUGAACUGUACAUACACGUUUU